GGAUUCCCCUAGUAACGGCGAGUGAAGCGGGAAGAGCACAGCGCCGAAUCCCCCGGCUGCGGCUGGUGGGAGUUGUGGUGUUUGGGGCCUUGCGUGAGGUGCAAGCUGGGACCCGAGUCCUCCUGAUCGGGGCGUCGUCCCACAGCGGGUGUUAGGCCCCUGCGGUCUCGGCGAGCAUCUCCGGCUGGGCCCCCCGAGUCGGGUUGUUUGGGAAUGCAGCCCAAAGUGGGUGGUAGACUCCAUCCGAGGCUAAACACCGGUGCGAGUCCGAUAGCAGACAAGUACCGUGAGGGAAAGUUGAAAAGGACUUUGAAGAGAGAGUUCAAGAGUACGUGAAACCGUCCAGAGGCAAACGGACGGGACCGCACAGUCGACCCGAGGGAUUCAACCUGUCCGGAGACUUCUCGCUCUACUGCUUCGAUCCCCUCGUUGGGACGGGCGGCUGGGGCAGUAGGAGUCGCUGGCGGGUGCACUUCCUUCGGGGCGAGCGCCGCGACCGGCUCUGCGUUCGCCGGAGCUUUUGGCAAGGUGACCCGUCCCCCUCUGUGGGGAGGGGCGUUACAGGCCAGGAGCGACGGCCGAGCGUGGGGCCGAGGUAAUUUGACGGGCACCAGCCCUAGAGGCCCGGGCCGCCGGCCCCGGCGGGGGACCUUCGACUUGAAUGGACUGCUCGCAGUGCGUUCUGACUGCCCUCUGUCGGUGGACCGGACGGCUCCCGGGUGGUGCCCGGGUCAGCGGCGAGCGGGCCGGCACCCCGUCCGACCCGUCUUGAAACACGGACCAAGGAGUCUGGCCGACACGCAAGUCGCCGGGCAUGUCGAAGCCCGGGGGCGCAGCGAAGGCGAGUGACAGGACCCCGUUGUCCUGGUCUGGCAGAGAUCCCUGUCCCCUUGUGGGCGGGGUGCAGUGCUGGCCUGCCCGUUUCCCCUCCGAGGGAUGGGCAGAGUGGGAGCGUGUCCGCCGGGACCCGAAAGAUGGUGAACUAUGCCUGGG
rnacentral:rRNA from 1 species